CUGCGGUUGGAUCACCUCCUUUCUAGAGUACAAACUGAUAAGUCUCACAACUAUCAGUUCAUAUAUAGACUCAAUCAUCCUUGUUUAGAUUUCAAAGAUUGAUGAAAAGCUAAUUUUGGGGAAUUAGCUCAGCUGGGAGAGCGCCUGCUUUGCACGCAGGAGGUCAGCGGUUCGAUCCCGCUAUUCUCCACCAUUUAUUAAGGGCCUAUAGCUCAGCUGGUUAGAGUGCACCCCUGAUAAGGGUGAGGUCACAAGUUCAAGUCUUGUUAGGCCCACCAUAAAAAAGAUUUGUUUAUCAAUCAUAUAAUAAAGUUUUAAAACUUAAAGCAAGUAUAUAACUAACAAUAAAGUAAUAAAUAAAGUAAAAUAAUUUAUUACUUAUGUUUUUAAAUUAUUUAAACUCUUUAUAUAUACUUCCUUUAGGUUUUAAGACCUAAGCUAAAUAAAUAAUAGAAUAUUUUAUAUAUUAGAUUAGUUAUUUAAUGUUAUUUGAAUUAUCAUUGUUAAGAGUCACAAGCAAGUUUUAAUAAAAACAAUUUUACAGGACUUGUUAAAGGAUAAAACCUAACUAUCUUUUCUUUAGCUUUUAGUUAAAGACAAGUUUUAAACUCACAGCUUAGUGAGACUAAAUUUAUUUAGUUUUAUUAAGUGUUUAAAUGCUUUCCGUCUUAAGAUAGUAAAGUCUUAUCAUAAAAAACUUUAACAAGGAAGUGAUGCGUUUUAGAUGAAUUUAAAAGUAAGCUAUAAGAGCGAAUGG
rnacentral:misc_RNA from 1 species